rnacentral:lncRNA from 1 species
AUGUCAGAUGCUAGUAAAGUAAUGCUCAAAAUUCUCCAAGCCAGGCUUCAGCAAUACAUGAACCGUGAACUUCCAGAUGUUCAAGCUUGUUUUAGAAAAGGCAGAGGAAGCAGAGAUCAAAUUGCCAACAUCUGCUGGAUCAUGGAAAAAGCAAGAGAGUUCCAGAAAAACAUCUAUUUCUGCUUUAUUGACUAUGCCAAAGCCUUUGACUGUGUAGAUCACAAUAAACUGAGGAAAAUGAUGAAAGAGAUGGGAAUACCAUACCACCUGACCUGCCUCUUGCGAAACCUAUAUGCAGGUCAGCAGGCAACAGUUAGAACUGGACAUGGAACAACAGACUGGUUCCAAAUAGGAAAGGGAAUCCAUCAAGGCUGUAUAUUGUCACCCUGCUUAUUUAGCUUCUAUGCAGAGUACAUCAUGAGAAACGCUGGGCUGGAAGAAACACAAGCUGAAAUCAAGAUAUCUGGGAGAAAUAUCAAUAACCUCAGAUAUGCAGAUGACACCACCCUUAUGGCAGAAAGUGAAGAGGAACAAAAAAGCCUCUUGACGAAAGUGAAAGUGGAGAGUGAAAAAGUUGGCCUAAAGCUCAACAUUCAGAAAACGAAAAUCAUGGCAUCCAGUUCCAUCACUUCUUGGGAAAUACAUGGGGAAAGAGUAGAAACAGUGUCAGACCUAAUUUUGGGGGGCUCCAAAAUCACUGCAGAUGGUGAUUGCAGCCAUGAAAUUAAAAGACACUUACUGCUUGGAAGAAAAUUUAUGACCACCCCAGAUAGCAUAUUCAAAAGCAGAGGCAUUACUUUGCCGACUAAGGUCCAUCUAGUCAAGGCUAUGGUUUUUCCAGUGGUCAUGUAUGGAUGUGAGAGUUGGACUGUGAAGAAGGCUGAGCACCGAAGAAUUGAUGCUUUUGAACUGUGGUGUUGGAGAAGACUUUUGAGAGUCCCUUGGACUGCAAGGAGAUCCAACCAGUCCAUUCUGAAGAUCAGCCCUUGGAUUUCUUUGGAGGGAAUGAUGCUGAAGCUGAAACUCCAAUACUUUGACCACAACAUGCAAAGAGUUGACUUAUUGGAAAAGACUCUGAUACUGGGAGGGAUUGGGGGCAGGAGGAGAAGGGGACGACCGAGGAUGAGAUGGCUGUAUGGCAUCACUGACUCGAUGGACGUGAGUCUGAGUGAACUCUGGGAGUUGGUGAUGGACAGGAAAGCCUGGCGUGCUGCGAUUCAUGGGGUUGCAAAUAGUCGGAUACGACUGAGGGACUAA